ACGGGAGGCAGCAGUGGGGAAUAUUGGGCAAUGGGCGAAAGCCUGACCCAGCAACGCCGCGUGAAGGAAGAAGGUCUUCGGAUUGUAAACUUCUUUUAUGUGGGACGAAGAAAAUGACGGUACCACAUGAAUAAGCCACGGCUAACUACGUGCCAGCAGCCGCGGUAAUACGUAGGUGGCAAGCGUUAUCCGGAUUUACUGGGUGUAAAGGGCGCGUAGGCGGGGAUGCAAGUCAGAUGUGAAAUCCAUGGGCUCAACCCAUGAACUGCAUUUGAAACUGUAUCUCUUGAGUGCUGGAGAGGUAGAUGGAAUUCCUUGUGUAGCGGUGAAAUGCGUAGAUAUAAGGAGGAACACCAGUGGCGAAGGCGGAUUGCUGGACAGUAACCGACGGUGAGGCGCGAAAGUGUGGGGAGCAAACAGGAUUAGAUACCCUGGUA
rnacentral:rRNA from 1 species